CAAGCAGCGGAGCAUGUGGUUAAUUCGAAGCAACGCGAAGAACCUUACCAGAUCUUGACAUCCAAUUGACCAUCUUUUUAAUCGAGAUUUUGCCUUCGGGUACAAUUGAGACAGGUGCUGCAUGGCUGUCGUCAGCUCGUGUCGUGAGAUGUUGGGUUAAGUCCCGCAACGAGCGCAACCCUUGCCUUUAGUUGCCAGCAGUUCGGCUGGGCACUCUAAAGGGACUGCCGGUGUUAAACCGGAGGAAGGUGGGGAUGACGUCAAGUCCUCAUGGCCUUUAUGACCAGGGCUACACACGUACUACAAUGGCCGAUACAAAGGGCAGCGACACUGCGAGGUGAAGCCAAUCCCGUAAAAUCGGUCUCAGUCCGGAUUGGAGUCUGCAACUCGACUCCAUGAAGUUGGAAUCGCUAGUAAUCGUGGAUCAGCAUGCCACGGUGAAUACGUUCCCGGGCCUU
rnacentral:rRNA from 1 species